CACCACUCAAGCCUCGCUUGGUAUUGGGCGCCGCGGUCCGCCGCGCGCCCUAAUGUCUCCGGCUGAGCCAUCUGUACUCGAAGCGUUGUGAUCAAUCAAAUCGCUUCCGGGUGUUGGUGACUUGGGCCGUUAAACCCCCCAAUUUUUACA
rnacentral:misc_RNA from 2 species